rnacentral:rRNA from 1 species
GACGGAGGAUCAAGUGUUAUCCGGAAUCACUGGGCGUAAAGCGUCUGUAGGUUGUUUAAAAAGUCUGCAGUUAAAGGUUGAAGCUUAACUUCAAAAAUGCCGUAGAAACUUUUAAACUAGAGGAUGGUAGGGGUAGAGGGAAUUUCCAGUGGAGCGGUGAAAUGUGUAGAUAUUGGAAAGACCACCGAUGGCGAAGGCACUCUACUGGGCCAUGACUGACACUGAGAGACGAAAGCUAGGGGAGCAAAUGGG